rnacentral:rRNA from 1 species
UACGUAGGGUGCAAGCGUUAUCCGGAAUUAUUGGGCGUAAAGAGCUCGUAGGCGGUCUGUCGCGUCGGAUGUGAAAAUCCAGGGCUCAACCCUGGACCUGCAUUCGAUACGGGCAGACUAGAGUUCGGCAGGGGAGACUGGAAUUCCUGGUGUAGCGGUGAAAUGCGCAGAUAUCAGGAGGAACACCGGUGGCGAAGGCGGGUCUCUGGGCCGAUACUGACGCUGAGGAGCGAAAGCGUGGGGAGCGAACAGG